GGUUGUAGCUCAGUGGUAGAGUACUUGCCUAGCAUGUGUGAGGCACUGGGUUUGAUCCUCAGCACCA
rnacentral:tRNA from 1 species